AACCACACUACACACACACGACUAACCAGCCUGAAUUGUAAUGUCACAGUACGAGUAGAGUAGACUGCUAUGUUUGAUGCUUUCCCAAGUUCUUUCACAGGUCCUGGUUCUGCAGCAGAGCAACAGUUGUCACUUAAUGGAUCAUUUCGGAGUUGCUACAUCUACUUUUGGAUUCUGCACUAUGUAGAAAUUGCUCUGCCAUUUCCUGGUUGCUGAAAUUCCUGAACAUUCACCUCAUGACUUUUCUCUGCUGCUGCAGAUAUCUGUGUGGGGUCUUUUCCCUCUUGCUCUCCCAGGGGAGGCUUGGAGAGAGUACGGAGGUUCUUGGCUGCCUUCAUGAUGUCAUGAUGGAGAUCCUUGCUGGAGUCGACUGGCUCAGCCUACUGCCGGUUGGAGGGUUUCUCUGGCAACUCGUUGAAAAGCUUGGUACCUCCGGUCUUGUCCCUCUGGUCCACGUACAUCUUAGAGGGGAAGGACGAGGGGUAGUAGGCAUUGAUCUUUCGUUUGCGGCUCAUGAUGCAAGCACAGCAGAGGAUGAGGAAGAUAGUGAUGAAGAGUGUGAAGAAAACUAGGAUGAGGAACAGGUUAUCCUGCAGGAAGUGAACCAUUUGGCUGAGCAAGAAGUGCUCUACGUGGGUGUAGCCAUGUGAGGUGGUUGAGGACUCCGAGGCAGGGCCACUGGUGGCAGGUGGGGAAGGCGUGUCAAUGAGGCUGUCUAGCUCCUCCCCCUCUGCACUUCCCUCCAAUGAAAUGUUGAAAGGGAGGGGUGUGGCUAGACUGGGGCUGCUGGACCACAGCGUCACCAACAGACCAAUCAGAUUAAGUGCCAUGAGGAACGUCAUCUCCUAUAGGACCUGCAGAAAACAAAACAAGAACAUACAGUGUCAGUGUGGCUGUUGUCAAAUUGCAUUUCCACUGUUAUUAAAUUGCACAGAUUUCGAUCGA